rnacentral:hammerhead_ribozyme from 1 species
AUCCAGAUGACGAGUCUCAAAUAGGAUGAAAUGUACUUUUUCCUGGAU